rnacentral:rRNA from 1 species
GAUGAACGCUAGCGGCAGGCUUAACACAUGCAAGUUGAGGGGCAGCAUGGUCAAUAGCAAUAUUGACUGAUGGCGACCAGCGCACGGGUGCGUAACACGUAUGCAAUCUGCCUUAUACUGGGGCAUAACUUCGAGAAAUCGGUGCUAAUUCCCCAUAACACUAUAGAGUGGCAUCACUCAGUAGUUAAAGCUUCGGCGGUAUAAGAUGAGCAUGCGCCCAAUUAGCUAGUUGGUGAGGUAAUGGCUCACCAAGGCUACGAUUGGUAGGGGUUCUGAGAGGAUGAUCCCCCACACUGGUACUGAGACACGGACCAGACUCCUACGGGAGGCAGCAGUGAGGAAUAUUGCGCAAUGGAGGAAACUCUGACGCAGCCAUGCCGCGUGAAGGAUGAAGGCCCUAUGGGUUGUAAACUUCUUUUGUACGGGAAAAAACGCUUCUACGUGUAGGAGCCUGAUGGUACCGUAAGAAUAAGCACCGGCUAACUCCGUGCCAGCCGCCGCAGUAAGAC